rnacentral:lncRNA from 1 species
CGCAUUUAUUACAUCUCUUGCCGUACGCAGGGCAGUGCUGUUGGCAAGGUUGUUGAUGGCUGCCAUUGCACCAAUAACAAGGUGUCAAUUGCCAGUGCACAACUUCUUUUCCAGUUUUCGGCUUGCUUGUGAAGUUCACCUGUUCUUGAUUGCCUCUAGCGGUCUUCAUCAAUUGGUUGGCAUAGGUAGAGGCUUCAAAGCAUUUCGCAGUUUCGACCACUUCUUUCAAGGUAACCUUUGUUUGCGAGACGUCCUGAUGCCCUUGGCCUUUGCCAAUCAGUUUGAUGCAAAGCGUUUCGGAUGCUAAACCAGCAAUGGACUGAUCUUUCAUGAGCUCGUCAGCAAAAUUCUCGUACUCGCAUUGUGCACCCGGGUUGCGGACUCUUGUUUCCCACGAAGUGAUAGACUCGCUUUCAUCUUGAAUGAGGCCGAGAAAUUUCGGUCGUUCGCCAGAAACCCCGAUACUAGCGCCAUAAAGUUCUUUCAACGCAGCCACAACUAGGUGAGGUUUCUUCUGAUUCUCUUCAGUCAGCCCCAAACUUUAUUUGUAUAUCGAUCUCGCUGCCGGAGACAGAGAUGCUCAAAGGCAGGCCAUCGCAUUGUCCGGUUUAGUCCAUUUCUGUUCGUCACUUUCCGUUACUGGGUCAUACCAGUUCUGCAUAACACAAUAAUCCACUAAAUCUUCGAUGUACACUUCCAUGUCAUGUUUAUCAUCGCCCGUCGUUUUCAGAGAUGGGAAUGGAGAGGUAGGCGAAGCCAUGAUGCUUUAAAACACUUUAAAAUGGCUUAACCAGCUGCCACCAUGUUACACGUUGCUGUGUAAAUGAUCGAAUGAUUUAUUCAAGUAAGUACAUUAUACAUACUCAUUAUGCAUACAUAGUGCGUGCUGAUGUGAUAGAAUGUGCUGAUGCAUCUGAUUACACGUGCAUAUUACUUCAUGUACAACACCUUGAUGGUAAUCAAAAUUUUAAUUACAACAUCGGUUUAAUGUUGUGAUUGAAGGCACAUUUGUUAAUUACUCCAAGUAGAGAGAUUGAAAAAAUAGAUAGGACGAAGUUUUCUUUAGAGCUAUUCUUUCUUACAUAAUAACAAGGCAUUGACAAGGUAUGUACAAAUGCAAUUCUUUUCCCUAGCUGGAGAGAAGGGGUUUCUGAGAAGGUCAGGUUUGGGACUGGGGAAGAGGGUUUCGUAACUCUUGCUUCAAAGAAGGGUUUAAAAAAGUUAAGUAGGUGAUUGUUCAGUGUGUCUGGUCAAUUUCUGAUGUGAUAAUUGCAGCAAACAUUUUCUCAACAGAUUCUAAAUUGAUGAUGGAUUUCUUUACUUCGAAAUCAAAAGGAAUUUGUGGUGUUAAGAGCAGUGCAGCUUCCAGCAGUGUUUCAAGUGUUUCUUCCAGCUCUUCACAGUCCUCGCUAUUAUCAUCUCUAAUGGCAGAAGAAAAUAUCGACAAGGUGAGUAAACUAGGGAUAGGCAUAUAAUACAAUACUGAAAACAUAGAUUCACUUUACAUAAAGACAAAAAGUUAUUGUAUUUGAAGAAAAAAGGUUAGUGUACAACAUAUGAGUGCUUGAAGUAUGGUAACAAAAUGAAGGGCUGUCACUUCUAUUGAAAGUUAAUUAUCUGAUUGUUCGUAUUUAUUAGAUUUUAUCUGAAACAAAAGAUCAAACAGAAAGAGAAUUUGGCUCCAGGCUGGGGAGAUCUAUUGUGGCAUCUAGUACCACAUCUGUUUCGUCUGCAAAGUGAGCUAAAUUAGAAGAACCACAACCAUCUAAUAUUCCCGUAGAGAAGA